rnacentral:rRNA from 1 species
UACGUAGGGUGCAAGCGUUGUCCGGAAUUAUUGGGCGUAAAGAGCUCGUAGGCGGUUUGUCGCGUCUGCUGUGAAAACCCGAGGCUCAACCUCGGGCCUGCAGUGGGUACGGGCAGACUAGAGUGCGGUAGGGGAGAGUGGAAUUCCUGGUGUAGCGGUGGAAUGCGCAGAUAUCAGGAGGAACACCAAUGGCGAAGGCAGAUCUCUGGGCCGUAACUGACGCUGAGGAGCGAAAGCAUGGGGAGCAAACAGG